UACGUAGGGUGCAAGCGUUGUCCGGAAUUAUUGGGCGUAAAGAGCUCGUAGGCGGCUUGUCGCGUCUGCUGUGAAAACCUGAGGCUCAACCUCGGGCUUGCAGUGGGUACGGGCAGACUAGAGUGCGGUAGGGGUGACUGGAAUUCCUGGUGUAGCGGUGGAAUGCGCAGAUAUCAGGAGGAACACCGAUGGCGAAGGCAGGUCACUGGGCCGCAACUGACGCUGAGGAGCGAAAGCAUGGGGAGCGAACAGG
rnacentral:rRNA from 1 species